AAAACAUCGCCUCCUGCAACACAACCAAGUAUAGGAGGUCCAGCCUGCCCAGUGACUACAAGUUUAACGGCCGCGGUAUUUUGACCGUGCAAAGGUAGCGCAAUCACUUGUCUUUUAAAUAGAGACCUGUAUGAAUGGCUAAACGAGGGCUUAACUGUCUCCCCUUUCUAGUCAGUGAAAUUGAUCUACCCGUGCAGAAGCGGGUAUAACAAUACAAGACGAGAAGACCCUUUGGAGCUUAAGGUACAAAGCUCAACCACGUAAAGCAACUCAAUAAAAAGUAAAAACUUUGUGGAAAAUGAAAUUUUACCUUCGGUUGGGGCGACCACGGAGGAAAAUAAAGCCUCCAAGUGGACUGGGACAAACCUCCUAAAACUAAGAGAGACAUCUCUAAGCCACAGAACAUCUGACCAAAUAUGAUCCGGCUGACAAAGCCGAUCAACGAACCAAGUUACCCUAGGGAUAACAGCGCAAUCCUCUCCCAGAGUCCAUAUCGACGAGAGGGUUUACGACCUCGAUGUUGGAUCAGGACAUCCUAAUGGUGCAGCCGCUAUUAAGGGUUCGUUUGUUCAACGAUUAAAGUCCUACGUGA
rnacentral:rRNA from 1 species